UUCAGCGUCUUCUCCAAACUUCCUGUCAUUCUUCUCCAUCCUUCCUCUCUCAAUCUCAAACAUCUGAUAAAAGGUAAAUCGAAUAAGUUCUUUUGUUGAUCCAACAAAAUAACGGAUCAUGAUCACUCUUCAUAUCACCAACUAGUUUCACAUAAAUCGCUCUCGUGUUCUUCUCUGCCGACCUAGGGUUUCUCUUCCUCUCUCUUCUCUGAUUCUUUUUCUUCUUCCUUCAUUCAAUCCGACAUCAAUCUUUCUAUAGCAGAUCCUUACCCACACCAUCAUUUCAAUCUCCCUAUCAAUACAGUCAAAGAUCGAAUUGAUCUCCAUCAAAUCGUUCAGAUUCAUCUAUAGCUCACCGAAAUCACAAUUUUGGAUGAUGAUGUUGCCGUUUAAAAUCGACGUCUCCGGUUGAAGGGUCAGAACAGAAUAAAAAAUCAUUUUCAUGAUUCCCAAAAUUGUAAGCUCCAUCUCUCAUUCUUCUAGUUUUGUUUGUCAGUUUAUUAUUGCGAUUUUGGAUGAGAUUCUAAAACUUUUUACUAUUAUAUAUCAAAGCUCAUGAUUAUGCAACUGUUUCCUUUGAUUUGUUUCCAUUGAUUAUUUAAGAGCUACGUUUUGGAUUUGAGAUCUAGUAUAUCAAAUUUGUUAUGUAGUAUUAGCCAUUUUGAAAAUUCAUUAUGAAUUGUGGUAAUUACAAAAAUCCAUAUCCAUGGAUUUGAUAUAUAUUGUAUUUGGUUCCAAAGUCUAUUUAUUUAGUUUUUUUUUUAAUAAUCUGCCAGGGCAUGUUUAGAAUUAUACAAAGGAGAAUUUGACAAGAAGGAUAAAUUUAAAUACGAAAUUUGUCAAUGUGAAAUAAUUACUUUUCUGAGUUCUCUUAAAGGAGUGAAAAUUAAGCUAUUAAUAAAUUUAGGACUCAAAUAUAGUUUAGACGUUUAGCUUUGUUAAAAUUUUCCCAAAUUUGAUAUAACUGAGCUCUCACCCUAAACGAAGAACUCCAGUACCUUGGGUAUUUUCUACUAUAGUACAGUUUUGGUUCUAUAAGGCGUGAGAUGCAAGCAUUUUGUUUUACUAGGGAAGUGUUUAACCUACAAUGACAUGUUCUACUACAGGAGCAUAAAACAGUAUGGGGCUUCACAUGUUGAUAAAUAUGUUUGA
rnacentral:lncRNA from 1 species